AUUGAACGCUGGCGGCAGGCCUAACACAUGCAAGUCGAACGAGUGGCGGACGGGUGAGCAAUGUCUGGGAAACUGCCUGAUGGAGGGGGAUAACUACUGGAAACGGUAGCUAAUACCGCAUACCAUCAGAUGUGCCCAGGUGGGCUUAGCUUGUUGGUGGGGUAACGGCUCACUAAGACGACGAUCCCUAGCUGGGCUGCGAGGAUGACCAGCCACAGUGGAACUGAGGCACGGUCCAGACACCUGAGGGAGGCAGCAGGGGGGAAUAUGGCACAAUGGGCGCAAGCCUGAUGCAGCCAUGCCGGGUGUAUGAAGAAGGCCUUCGGGUUGGAAAGUACUUUCAGCGGAGAGGCGGUACCCGCAGAAGAAGCACCGGCUAACUCCGUGACAGCAGCCGCGGUAAUAC
rnacentral:rRNA from 1 species